rnacentral:rRNA from 1 species
UACCAGCUCUCCGAGUUGUAGGGAUGAUUAUUGGGCUUAAAGCGUCCGUAGCUGGCUUAGCAAGUCUCCUGUUAAAUUCAGCGACCUAAUCGUUGAGCCGCGGGAGAUACUACUAGGCUAGGAGGCGGGAGAGGUCGACGGUACUUUCGGGGUAGGGGUGAAAUCCUAUAAUCCCGGGAGGACCACCAGUGGCGAAGGCUGUCGACUAGAACGCGCUCGACGGUGAGGGACGAAAGCUGGGGGAGCGAACCGGAUUAGAUACCCGGGUAGUCCCAGCUGUAAACUAUGCGGGCUAGGUGUUGGGGUGGCUACGGGCCACUUCAGUGCCGCAGGAAAGCCAUUAAGCCCGCCGCCUGGGGAGUACGGCCGCAAGGCUGAAACUUAAAGGAAUUGGCGGGGGAGCACCACAAGGCGUGAAGCUUGCGGUUU